GUGAGGUAAGAGGAACGCCAUCUAGUGGUCAAUACCGCAGAAUGUAAUGAAUUGAGUCACAUGACAUUUUGACAGUAAACAAAAUAAGGAUUUUUAAAUCACGGGUUUUGCUGAGUGAACUUGCAGUUCUGUAAAGUUAUUCGAGAUAACUGCAAAUGGUAGUCCCAAAACCGGAAGAAUUUUGUCUGUCAUCUUUACUACGUGAACUUUAAAAGGCCUUGUUAUACCAAAGGGCGCCAAAUGGAGAAAUUGGGCUUCAUCAACGAUUCAAAUUCAUUGAUUUUAACAGCCUGGUUGCAAACUUUUAGCCAUAGCAUUGCAAUCAAUGUAUUUAUAAUCCAGUCUUCAACACUCACAAAUGCCAAUGUACACAGUUGUUUCUACGCUGAAACGUUUAAUCUGACAAUGAUUUG